rnacentral:rRNA from 1 species
CCCUUAGAUGUUCGGGGCCGCACGCGCGCUACACUGAAGGGAUCAGCGUGUGUCUCGCCUGGCCUGGGAAGGCCGGGUAACCCGUUGAACCUCCUUCGUGCUAGGGAUUGGGGCUUGAAAUUGUUCCCCAUGAACGAGGAAUUCCCAGUAAGCGCGAGUCAUAAGCUCGCGUUGAUUACGUCCCUGCCCUUUGUACACACCGCCCGUCGCUACUACCGAUUGAACGGUUUAGUGAGGGCCUCGGAUUGGUCUCGGCCCGCUCUUUACCGGGCGGCGCCGUUGGUCGAGAAGACGCUCGAACUUGAUCGUUUAGAGGAAGUAAAAGUCGUAACA